rnacentral:lncRNA from 1 species
AGAAGGGCUUCAGGACUCGGAUUACCCCCAUGAAAUCUCUCCCUGUCCCAAAGCACGUCCUGCGCGCUGGCUGAGGCAGGAGAAGUGUUCCAGUCUCUAUUGAAACCUGCGACUUCCACCACCCCUUUGGUGGCUGGGAAUGGCGCCCAGACAUGAAAUAACGAACUGAAACCCCUCCACGCGUUGACCAAAGAAAACAAGCUGUCAAACAGAAAUAUCCCCUCGCUCCUUUCCGAGGCGGACCCAAUCUCGUUCCCAUCUGCAGGCUGUGCGGCGCUGGGAAGGCAGCAUGAGGAACUCAGCAUGAAAUCGUCAGCGACGGCGUGCGGUGCUGUUUGUGCAGCAUAAAUCAGUCUGGGGAAUGAAGAGCCCCAUCUUCUUUCUUGCAGAAUUAAAAAAGAGGGGCAUCAAUACUAUGGAUAUUUCAAGUCUCCAGAGAGCUCUGCUUCGAAGGAAAGAGACAGCAGAGCGCCUGCAGCAGAACCAAAGCUUCAGCUCACUGAAUUCUCUGCUUUUUCCUCCCACUUCUACAAAACCACCCUUCAGACCACCAUUGCUCCAGCCAUGGAAGCAGUGUAGUGAAGGCCCAUGAGUCCAUGUGGGAGCUCAGGCAGGGAGGAGGAGGAGGAGACCCAAGUGGCUGUUUUCUCAGUGCUGAGGAUGAUGUGCCCUGCUGCCAUGUGCCAACACCUGCACUGGGCUCCUCGGUCUUCCAUGGGGGUCUCAGCACUGUGAAUCACCACAGCCAUCCCUGCACCACAUCCUCCAGACAGAGCCACGCUGCAGCUCAGGGCAUUCCAUGAAGAAAUUGCUUUCUCAUGACUAAAUGUCAGCAUAGAGAAUGAAUGAAGAAAGACCACAAAUUUACUUAAAAUCUGCAACCGACUCCUCAGCGCAGAGGAAAGACUGGCAUCAGUGUCAUGUCCUGAAGCAGUGUCAUGUCCUGAAGCAGAUGCAGGAAGAACAAUUACUUGUGUUCACAGUAUCCUUAAGGUUGGAAAAGACCACCAGCAUCAUCUAACCCAACCAAGGGGCAGUCUGCUCAGACACAUCUCUUGUCUAAGAGCUUCCAACUUAGUGCAGUUUCCUUAUCCUCGUGCCUAAGGGACAGCACCAGGGACACCAAGGCACACAGUCCUUGUAGGCAUGGCUGGCUGCCAGCCACCCUUGUUCUCUGGUUAAUAGAGGAGCACAUGGAACCGUUGUAGGUAACAUGACCACUGCACGAUCCCGUCAUAGCCAGAAAUGUUUCAGCUGCAUCACUGCUAUAUAUUUUCUUUCCUGCAGCAUCUUAUUUGCCCUUGGUUGUAAGAGGACUGAGCUGAUGUUAGCAUUGUUUUCAGUUCUUCAGCAAAAAUAUUGGUGUUUUUUCUUAAGAAAAAGGCAUGAGCGGAUGAUGUAGUUUUGACUGAUCUGAUAAUAAGUAUAGGAGAAAGCACUCGGUGUGGUUGCAUUGCCCUUUUGUCCUGGGCUGCAGAUGGUCAGUGAAGCUGUGCUCACCCCUCCCAGGUGCUAACACUCAGCCUCUGCUGGGCAGAUGAAGCACAGCUGGGUAAUGAGCAGGUCCUGAUGGGCAGUGUUUGUUGGCCUGUGAACCUACCUUGCCUAUUUAGGGACCUGACCCAAACCAGGGAGCUCAGAAACGUGGUGCUCUCAGCUGUAGCCAUUCCUCUUCUUUAAAUUCAGUAGGUGUGCCUUUGCCACCAGCAGCAUCCUUGGAUUCCAGGCACCAUUCACAUCCUGCUGUUUGGGAAAUGGUCAUUGCCACCAGUCUGGGAAGAAUGUAUUUCUGCCCUUCUGAUAACCCACCAGAGGUCCCCUGAGGGCUGGGAUUCACGUUGCUUUCUGCCCUGAGGCUGUAAGGUAAGAGAUGCAGCGGUGUUCAUUGUAAGUGAGAACCCUUUGCUUUGAAUGGGGAGAUUAACAACAAAACUCUCUGAACUUCCUUCUCCUUCGGUUAUGUUGCAGAAAAAAUUAACUUUGUUUAAGUUGGGAACUGGAGCAGUUCUUUAUGGCCACUGAUUCCUUUUUUCCUCCUCCUGGUCUCAGUAACAAGGGCCAGAGUAGUGGACCAUGCUGGACACAGCUAUUUUCUUCCUGAUGCUAAUUGCAGCCCUUCCUGGGGAGGAGCAAGGCAGCUGAUUUUUGGAUAAACUGAAGGCAAAAAGAAUUUCUGCCUGGGCAAAGCAGAGCAGAGAACAAAGGAGUGGGAAUAGUCAGGAGUGCUGGCUGUGGGGCUCUGCAGGGUGGGGAAGGACAUGCAUAGGCCUAGGGGGAAACCAAGGAGAAACAUAAGGAGGCAGAAUGGAUUAUUUGCUAACAGACAGAGCCAGGGUGCUGCUAAAUACCCAGACCCUCACUGUUUCACCCAGGGCAGGGGUGGCAGUGGGGCUGGGCGUGCUGUAGGGUAGUUUGGGAUGGUCCCAGGUUGGUGCUGGGUGUGCUGAGAGUCUCCUGAUGCUCUGUGAGGCUGGGGAGAAGCAAGAAGGAGCACGAGCAAAUGUGUUUCCACUUAGCUGCUCUAAGGAGCCAAAUGAUGUAACUGCUCGAAGCCCCGCACUAUGUUGGCAGGAGGAGUCCAGUGACAGCUCCAACUGUAAGUUCCUGAGCUAAUGAGCAGAAAAGUUGAAUAAAACUUAAAAAAAAAAAAAAAAAAAAAGCCUAUUUAUUUGGCUUAACAUAGCGAUCCUUCCCAGGACUGUUCCUUCAGCUGUUCCUCUGCUCAGAUCACAAAUCCAGACCCAAAAGAUGCUGGCUCCUCUCCUAUGGGUCUAAUGGGGCAGAGCCAAGGGGUCAGUGUCCGUUGGGAGCAAUGCUUCUGUGCAGCGUUGGGUGCUUUGCUUGGUGCUGAACCACAUCCCUGCUCCAGGAGAAGCGCUGUGCUAUCCUUUCCUCCAGCCCUUAUGGAGUUAACCACAACUAUUAUUAUUAAGGGUGGGUUUUUUUCUCCCUCUUUCUCUCUCUCUCUCUGUGUUACCAGCAAAGAAUGUUUUACUACAGCUCUCCACACAGCCACCAGCCUCCAAAUGGACCACGUUACAAAACAGCAGUUUGGUGAUUUCCUUGGCUCUGUGUUGCUUGCCACUGGACCAGCUGGCACUGGACGAAAGAGAGCGGCUGCACAUCUUCCUGCUCCUGGUGGUUGGGACUGUUAAAAGUCAGCCCUGUGCCACAGGUUGCCCCAGCUCUUCAGGUGAUAACCUGCUUCAGCAGCAGCUGUGCACAGAAUUUACUGGGCUGCAGCUGGGAAUCUUUCUCUUUGAUCCAUCUCUGCUAUUAAACAGCUUGUGAUAACGCCACUGAGCUCACAUCGAGGAGGGGAAGCCGAGCAACCUCAAUAUUGGAGCUGAGCAGCAGUGGGGUGCCCAUCUUAAAGCUGCAUCACCUCACUGUCUUCAAAAGCAAAGGAGCUCCUUUUAUAGCAGCGAGCUGCUCUCCAGGAAUGAUUAAAGUCUCGUAAACGAGCACCUUCCUCAUCACAGAGCUGUCUGCUGACGGGGUGCCAAGUACAACAAGCCCAAUCCAAAGCAUCAUCCCCUCCAUGGGGCUAAUUGUUGUUGCCUUGUCUCUUGAACAAGAAGAGUGGUAAGGGAAAGCAGAGCCUGGAGACACACGCACAUCCCUGUACAGAAAUAACCCCUGAAAUAGAACUGACAAGCAAUUGAGGAGUCGGCCUGUGGGCUGCAGACAAAGCACAGAGCAAAGGAGAUAACCGGCAGUGAGCACUGGGAAAUAAUGCCCUAAAUUCCCUCUGAGCCCAUUCAUCACCGUGGCUUCGGCGAUCAUCUCAGCAACAAAUUCCCCUAUCAUCCAACUGAAAUUCGAUGUUAAUGACCUGUCUGUUAUUUCAGGGGGAGAUUGUCUGGAACCGGUGGGUAAUUGGUAGGAAAAAUCGCCGGGUACAGCAAAGAGCUGAUGCUACUGGAGUCGUUACACCACGAGAGAGGGAGAUUAGGGAGCUCUGCUUACCACAAGGGGCUUAUUCAUCCUGAAUAAAUGCAUUAGCUGCCCAGAGCUGUCCUCUUAUGCCCUUGUUCCUGUCUGGUGGCAUCUCCCCACCACAGCUUUUCCCAGCAAACAGCAGAGAUGCAGCCCAGAAGAAGCUGCUAGAAUCAUAGAACACCCAGAGCUGGAAGGGACCCAUAAGGAUCAUCGAGUCCAACUGCUGCUGUUGAGACGAUCACAGUAAGGAAUAACCUGCUCUCUCCAAGCUCACACUGAUGUAUGCGUUUAUUCUGGAGUUCUCUCAGGAAAGACCAUAAUUACUCUAAUUUCUUAAUUACCGAAAUUAUUCAGAAUGACUCUGCAAACACCUCUGCCCUGCAACGUUUUGCACGAGCAGCCUCCCAGAUUGCAGCAGCGUUAGGAUUUGGGUUUGUUCCUCUGCUGGAAGGAUUUGCUGCGUUCAUUGCCAUUUCUCCUUGCCAUCAUGUUAGCGGGGCAGCCUGCAGCCCUCACCAAAAAUAGGAUAACUGGAGAGCAUCAGGGGAGAGCUAGAAGCAAGUCCAGAGGUAAAGCCUUGGCUCUGUUGCAAAGGAUAGCUUUGCUGGGACUUGAUGUCUGUGCUUUUUCUCAACAGUUUCUCAUUCCCAUCUUGCUAACGGGACCAGCACCAGUCAUGUUUCGGUGAGCACACCUGCUUUAUAAAUUAGCUCCCAGGAGUAUUUGCAAAAACAGAGCUGAACUGCAUGGCCACGGGACUGGGUUUGCUGCAGAAAUACCAGCACGUAUUCAUAAUAAAGCAGCUGCACGCUUUGCCCAGCUCUGUCUGUAACUUCCCGUCAUGUCCUGUACCUUUCUGGGCAGAAAGAAUGGGUGGUAGUGGUGGGAAAAUUGCAAAAUCCUCCUUGGCUAGAUGAAGCAAUUAUUUUUGAUGCAGAUGGGGCUGCUUUUAACCCUACGUAUUCCAAACAUCUCUGUAUAACCCUAUGGGUUCUCCACCGUUGUAGGCAGUGAUGGAGAAGGAAAAAAAUGGGUGAGUAGGAUUUAACACCCAGCCAGAACUGAACUGUACAACACCCGACUGCAGAAGGGUCGGUUCUAUGCCCUUUAUGCGCAGUAGGCACCGCUGCUGCCUGUCCCCAGCAUGGCACGAGUUGGGGACCAUGAGUGGUGAGGAGCUCUCGUGGUGCCUCUCCCUGAGCUGCAGGCACAAAGGUUGGAUUUCUUCCCUAUGGCUGCGUGAAGAGCUGCUGACUGCUCCACCAGGAACUGAGGCAAUAAUCCCAGCUUGUCGUUCUCCUUCUCAUGGGAGACUUCUUGUGCAAAAGAAGCAUCAGUAGAAUGAAUCAAACGCUGCGGUAGUGGCCCCAUUCCCACGUGCUCUGUGUGCUCUUCCUCUCGACUCACCGGUGAGGAGGCGGUAUCAUGGGGAGGCUGUUCUGAAAAUGCUUUUAAUUGAUUUAGUUCAUAGCUGUGUUGGAGCAGGAAGGUGUUCCUUCCUUGUGCCCGGGAAUGGCAGAAUGUCCUCCAGCUGCCCCCAGAGAUGCAGCGCUGUGCCCGGGUAGCACUGCCUUGCUGCUGGCCAUCCGUGCCAAGCCUGGGAAUGAAAGCUUUGGCAACAGCCUGGACCAAGCUCUGGUAUCUUCCUUAUCGAGAAGCAUGCUGAUUACUGCAGACAAAUUGGAGAUGAACUUGCCUCUAGAGCCCAACGUGUUUGUGAAAUGAAUUGCAGUUACAUGGGGAUUUAUUAUUUCUGCAAAAGAGGCUUUCUUAUCAUGAUUUUUCCUUCCAUCUUGGACUCAUUGCUACCAGACCAGGAACCUUCAAACAGAUGUGUUUGGAGCCUUGAUGUGGGCUCACAGUGGCUGGGAAUCUUCUUGUUAUUCCUACAAAAAACAGACUCCAGCUGGAGGGGAAGAAGAGCCUCCAGCAUUAGAGAUGACCUAAACAGCACAUGUUGCAAAUGAGAUGGGAAGUGGAGAACUGCUUGAAACAUCUCUGGCCCUUUCAGCAGAACUGUUUUCCCUUUGCCUUCUCAAGGCUGAGCUGCAGACAUUGCAAGAAUGACCCCAGCAGACUGCUGCUGUUUCUGUUUUGCAUGUUCACAAGGCAGCUUCUGAAAUAAGUUUGCACACUGUUGAUCUUGCACUGGACAGCCUCACAUCAGGUGGCAGGGAAGCCCCUGCUCAUGCUGCCCUGACCCUGCUGCUCUUACUUCCCAUGCUGAUGCAUCAGUGCAUGAUGUGGCUGGAAAUGAGGUGGUGCAGGGUGGUCUCCUUGGGUUUUGCAGCUGAAAUAGGUUACUGAGCUCCUGAAGGCAUCCACCAGGAUUGCUAUGGCCUGGAACAGCACUAGGAAAGAUGCUCUGCUUCAAGCUGGGGUUGUGCUGGUGGUGGGAGCUGGGGAUUUCAAAUCUUCCUACAGUUGGAUAUUUCAACCAAUGGCAUAAAUAAUGGAAAGCCUUCCAAAAGAAUGCCAUCCUAAGGGCUGUUCCCCUAAGAAGAAAUGCAGGUCAGGAAAUACAUUGGCCAUAUGAGUUUGUGAGUCCUUUCAAUUGUGAACAGUGCACUAAUCAAGAUUUGGCUAAUGGGUAUGCUGGGAUAUGCACACAGAUAUGCUCUUCUUUUGAGUCUUUCUCUUUACCUUUCAACCCCUGAAAUCAUCCAAGCUGCUAACACUCUGAGGAGGAUGAUGCAGCAAAAAUAAUAGUUUUAGCAAGAAGCAGAAAAAUGAGAUUAGCAUCUGUUUUUCUGGGAAAAAUAUCAACUUUUCCUGCUUAGAAAAUGAAUGGGUUGGAAACCAGCUUGUAAAACUCAAAGCCUGAUUCAGGCACUGAUUUGUCACGGGGCUGUCACCUGCAGUCACUGUUAGAGAGGAGCCCUCAAUGUUCUGUCCAAAAGGAACGAUUGCUGUCUGAGUUAUUGAUGGAUUCGUAUGUGGGGAAGAGCAAAUCCUGGUCAAGCUGGAGGACUUUUGCACACAUUCAGCAGCGGGUGAGUAAAGUUAGUGGAAUACAGAACCAUCCCUGCUCGCUGCAGAGCAGCCCCCAAGGAGCACAGUGAUAAAUGAAUUGCAGAAAGCUUGGAGCUUCAACUCGGCCAGGGGAAAUAACGCUGUGUCUAUCUGAUCUCUGCAAACCUGGCUUUCCGCUUAUGUGCCUGAUGAUAAAUCAGCAGUAAAUGUGCUUAGGUUGGCACGCCAAGUUUUUCCCUGGAUGCUGUUCUGUAGGCACGCACUUUCUUCACCACAAGAGUCCAGAUCUGGUGCAGAAACCACAAGCGUGGUACAGGCAGGCGGCAUCCCAUCCCAACACCAUUGCAUUGCCCUUGGCCUGCCAGCCAGAGCCAGCCCAGCACAGCCAUGGGAGAAGGAUGGCAGGCACUCCAGGAGGACCUCUUCAAACUGCAGAGAAGGUCUGAUUUUGAAACUGGGGCAAAAGUUGAAAUAGGAUUUAAUUUUAUCUCAAUUGAUUCAUCUGUCCCUAAUUAGAAAUAGCUUCCUAAUGCAUGACGUAAGGAUACGAGGAGGGUUGUUUUUUUUUUAAUGAAUGACUCUUGGCUGAGAUGAAAAUAUUGCUGUUCUCAGAUAGUUCUUUUUAUAUGCCAAUAGAGAUUUGUGCAGUCUAAGAUGAAAAAUACAUGAGAUCCUGCAGUCACACACGCUGCAGACUAAACUCUUACAGAUUAUAGAUCCUGUCUCAUUCCCAUUUUGUACAUCCCAUUUUAGUAUCUGCAUUUGCUUUUACUGAGAGAGGAGCCUCAGUCUCCCAGAAUUGCAGUGUGUGAUGCUGUGCAGGGAUGGAGCAAAAACUGAUCCUUACACCCAAGGCAGUUUCUCACGGGAACAGUGUGAAAUUGCCCAUUUUUCUAUUUUCAGGAUGAAAGUUGUGCCUGCUUUGCCUUAUUUUCUCUUUCUGUCCUCUUCCCCGUUUCUUCUCUCCUUCCUGCCCGUGGGUCAAGGGCUGGAAGUAAAGCUGAAGCCGCGUGGCAGGAUGCAGGAGGCGGAGCAGUGCAUUGAGUUGCAUGAUGCCAGGCAGCAGGAGGUGUGGGCUGCCCACUACCUGUUCCUGGACAGCAUGGCCAGGAGAUGGAGCCUCGUGAGACAUUCCGUGGAAGGUGGCAAGCAUUGGAUGAGUAACAUUUCCCCAUAGUGCAUUAAUCAACGCCUGCUUGGCCAAGCAGCAGUCAGUGUGAGAGGAGGACGAGUUGGGCUCCCAGGCACACGGGGAACUGCUGAGACAAAGAUUGCACACAGCAGCACCACAGUGACAAAGCUGCCUUGGUUCAGCACCCAGGGG